CUUUCAGUCUCCUCCUUAACGCCAAGACUACCUAGCUUCUUCUAAUUCCCUCGCUUCACCAUCCCAAAACAUCUUCUAAAUAUUCCGUACAAUCUGAAUCCUAGACUGUGUUGAUUAAGGAGCAUCGUCUUCCAUGGAUAUAGAUAAAGAUUCUUUCUCACGAUCUAUCUACAUCUGACCACAGUGACCAGCAUCAAACGAAAAAGCACAAAUAAGCACGACCAAAAAACAGAUAAAAGGGAGCCAAAUUGGUGCAGAUAUAGUACACAAAUGGAAAGCAAAGAAGAUGAGUAUUGCAAACCAAAAAAAUAAGUGGAUUGAGAAAAGUUUACCAUCCUUCCAAGCAGCCUAAGCUACCUGCAGAUUGCUGAAGUGGCGGGGCUGCGUACUGUGGAGGGAGGAGGGUAACCUUGGGGCGGGUAAACGGUUGAAGAUAAGCAUCCUUGGGAUAUCCUUCCGGUGAAUAAUCUAUUCCAGAAACUCAAAAGUCCAUUAGAUUCGUUCCCAAAAAUUGGCAAAAGAUGAUUCAAUCAAAGAAGAUAACUGAAAAAAGCUUACCUUGAGGAUGCGGCACAUCGACGGGAGGCUGAAACUUGUAGUUCAGCACACAUCUCAAAAUUGCGCACCAACAAUCCCGGGGACAUCUUCUUCGUUGAUCCCAUAAAUAUGAAUUUUUUUUUUUUUUACAGCUUGUAUUUAAGUUGAAUUUGAAGUCUUUUAACAUGUAUCUUCUAUA